AAUCUCAGCAGCACCAGCAGCACGGAGGAAAAGGCAGUAAAGACCGUGCUCUGGGGCUGCGAGCUCAGUCAGGAGAGGCGGACUUGGACCUUCAGACCCCAGCCGGAGGGGAAGCAGGGCUGCAGGCUGUUGCUUCAUAUGAUUUGCUUAGGGGAGAAAACCAAAGAGGAGAUGCAUCGCAUGGAGAUCCUGCCUCCAGAAAACCGGGAGGACAAGAAGACGCAGCCGGUCACCAUUGCCUCGCUCCAGGCCUCAGUCCUCCCCAUGGUCACCAUGGUUGGAGUACAGCUUUCUCCCCCAGCUACUUUCCAACUCCGGGCUGGCUCAGGACCUGUGUUCCUCAGUGGCCAGGAGCAUUAUGGAACCUGGGAGGAGGAGGAGGAGGAAGAAGGGG